GAUCCUUGUUUGAAGUCUGAAGCUACCCAUGAUUAGGCCAUUCUCUGUGGUGCACCACCAUUUUUCAAGUAUUUGAAAACAGUUAUGUUCCAUUUCAAGUUGUUCCCCCAGGCUAAACAUCUUCAAGUGCCCCAGAAUGACACUGUUUCUAGAUCUUUACCACCAUAUUAUUUCCUAACCUCUAAGUGCUCUCUAAUUUAUUAACGUCUUUUUAAAAUUGUGGCAACCAAGCCAGCAGGUUAUGUUCCCGUUAAUGUUCUUUUAGCAGCCUGGUUAGUGCACAUGGAGGUUGUGGUCAAGUAAAAUGCCAGGCUGGCAGGCCUUGACCUCAGAUCCUUAGCUGCUAAUAGAUAGUCUAGAUAAUACUAACUCAAUAACUAUAUUGGAAAUGAUGUGGGCUUUUUCCUUCACAAAUGUAAAAAUGUUUUUCAUUUUCCUGAUGGCAUCCAAGAUUAUACUUAAAUUUUAAAUACAAUUUUAUAAAAAUUAUGGAAACCUAUGGAUAAGGAUUAUAAGAGAACACGGGCAAAUAAAAACAGCUUAUUUGAUAAGGUGAUGGGGUUUUAAAUGCCUUAGAUUAGAGGCUCUGGAAUUAGAACUGCCUAUAUUUGCAUCCAAAUAGUAAGCCCCUCUUAAUAGCUGUGUGACACUAGGUAAGUUAAUUAACUUCUUUAUGCUUUUAUUUCCUCAUUUAAAAGAUGGAAAUAAAAAGAGUACCUUCCUUCUAAGGUGGUUGUGAAGAUUAAAUGAUAAAGGAUGCUGAAUGCAAAGCACAAGCCAUAUACUUAGUGCUUACAAAUGUAAACAAUAAUAAUAAUUUAUUGUUAUAAUGUUUGCCUGCAAUAAACAAGUCACGUUAUUAUCUAACAUAGAAAUACCAGGUCAAGUUAAAGACUGCAGAAAUUUGAAAUUCUCUACGGACUCUUUUAGGAAGCACAGUUUACGAGAAAUGUUGAAUUAUCUAUUCAACUUUAAAUACAGCUCAAUAAAAAUUAUGGAAGCCUAUGGAAAAGGAUUAUAAGAGAACGCAGGCAAAUAAAAACAGCUUAUUUCAAGAAUCAGCUCACACAUAACUUCACAUAUUUUCUUCCCCUUUUUUCAUUCCCUAACCCAGCAAAAACCAUCCCUGGCUCCUUUGUCCUAACCACUCUGUGUUCUACAUUCUAGUCAUUUGUGUAAGACUCUUCUACUAAGCCCUGAAUUCUUUGAAGGUGAGGACUACGCCCUAUGGAACUCUGGAUCCUCAGUGACAACCCAUAGUUCGACAUUAGUCUCAUAAGAAACAUAGCUGGAUCCUUCUUCACAGCUACAUCUAGCAAAUAAUAAAGGAAGCCUCCUGCCCUGGUAAACUUGGUGAGUAUCUCAUCACUGUCAGUUGUCAUCAGGCCAAGUAUCUGCAAACUACCAGAUGGGGAUAAGGAGGCUAUGACCCCACAUAGCAUGACUCUACCCAGUGACAACCAUUGCAGAGAUUCUCAUUGAUGAGUUGCUUGCAUUCUAAGGAGAUCCUUAAAAGCCAGCUGCAACCACAGUCCAAGCAAAUCCUAAUUCCUUCCCUGCAGCAAAGGCACACUCUCCUGUGAAGAAGGGUUUCCUCCUAACGUGGUACAGUUGCCCAAACUCCCCAGAUGGCGUUGCUGGAAAGGUAUGUCAUCGGGAAACAAACUUAAGACACAAAUGAAUAAAGCACAGCAGAUUAUGUACCCGGCUAAGGGAAAUAGUGCAAAGAGAAAAAAAAGGGAAGAGACUUAAUGAA
rnacentral:lncRNA from 1 species